UACGAAGGGGGCUAGCGUUGCUCGGAAUCACUGGGCGUAAAGCGCACGUAGGCGGAUUGUUAAGUCAGGGGUGAAAUCCUGGAGCUCAACUCCAGAACUGCCUUUGAUACUGGCGAUCUCGAGUCCGGGAGAGGUGAGUGGAACUGCGAGUGUAGAGGUGAAAUUCGUAGAUAUCAGGAAGAACACCCGUGGCGAAGGCGGCUCUCUGGUACGUGACUGACGCUGAGACGCGAAAGCGUGGGGAGCGAACAGG
rnacentral:rRNA from 1 species